AUAUCGACGUAGUUUGAUCAGUGGCUCAGAAUCAACGCUGGCGGCGUGCCUCAGACAUGCAAGUCGAACGAUUAAAGCUCUCUUCGGAGAGUGCAUAGAGUGGCGCACGGGUGAGUAACACGUAAGUAAUCUACCUUCGAGUGGGGAAUAACGUCCGGAAACGGGCGCUAAUACCGCAUAAUGCAGCGGCAUCGCAAGAUGACAGUUGUUAAAGGAGCAAUCCGCUUGAAGAGGAGCUUGCGGCAGAUUAGCUAGUUGGUAGGGUAAUGGCCUACCAAGGCUACGAUCUGUAACCGGUCUUAGAGGACGGUCGGUCACACUGACACUGAAUAACGGGUCAGACUCCUACGGGAGGCAGCAGUCGGGAAUUUUGGGCAAUGGGGGAAACCCUGACCCAGCAACGCCGCGUGAAGGAUGAAGUAUUUCGGUAUGUAAACUUCGAAAGAAUAGGAAGAAUUAAUGACGGUACUAUUUAUAAGGUCCGGCUAACUACGUG
rnacentral:rRNA from 1 species